GGGGGUAUAGCUCAGUUGGUAGAGCGCUUGCGUGGCACGCAAGAGGUCAGCGGUUCGAGACCGCUUAUCUCCACCA
rnacentral:tRNA from 1 species